rnacentral:lncRNA from 1 species
GCCUGCGCGCACAGGCCCGAGUUGCUCAAAUAAUAAUAAAUGACCCAUUAAAAUCCCCCCCCCCCCCCCCCCCACACACACACACACACAUUCACCGUGAGACUCUUAUGAUUCAAACUGCCACUCAAACGCGAUGCCUGCCAGUCACCCAGGUUGAGCCCGCUGCUCGUGCACGCGCACGCACACACACACACGUGCACUGCAAAGUUUAGAUCAGUGAAUAAGAUUAAGUGUCAUUGUCACAUAAAACAGCCUCCCGUGGCGCAGGAGAAUAGUUGCUGGAAAAGGGGCCUGAUUUGGGAACAGAGACGCCUCAAUGUGCUGCUCUAACUUCUUUCCCCACAAUCUGGGGCCCCAUUGUCUUCCCCCUAUUUUUAAAGUAGUUGGGCCCUCCCCUCUUGUUAGAUAAGAUAGGCUGGUUGUCGCCUCCCCCCCGCUGAGCUCAAAUCCAAGGCCAGUGGAGGAGUGUUGGGGACAUCUCCGCUCGCUUUAUAACCAAAUGACACCCCUUCGACUUCUGAACACGUAGGGGCCUAAAGUGUGCGUUUAUUCUCCAGACCCUCUUUACAGAUCGUACUUUAAACAGCGUGAUCUGUGAAUAAACAAAGCCAGUAAACAAUAGAGUGGAGGCUAUGCCCACAUAUAGGAAGAGUACACACACAAACCAAAUUGCACAAGUGUAAACUUUGAAUAGGACGCCGCAGCUCUGUAAAUUUACACAGACAUUAAAUUUGGUUCUAUUCAUUUUAGACAUAUAAUGCUAAGCUGAUUUUUUUAUAGCACACUGAUCGAUAUCUCUGUAAAAUAAUCAUUUUUUUAACUAGCGGGGCAGUGAAAUCUUUGCUUUGUGCUAAAGUCAACAGUGACAGAGUUUGAGCUCAAAUAAAUGCCGUGAUGUCUGGAGCCCUUUGCAGAAGGCAGAAGGCGAGCUCCCACAAUGGGCUUCUGUGUGGCUUGCCAACAACCGGCACCGGCUAUUUUACGCAGGGCUCUGCUGACUGAAGUGAUCCCCACGGCCCUGAGCGGAGGGGGAGGAGGGCGAGGGAGCCUCCGAGGGGAGAGGGAGCGCUGCGACGCGCGCCCACGUGCACGCGCGCGCACUCAAACACUAACACAAUGUCCCUCUCAGUCCUGGGUUGUGACCGGCCCAUGGCAUUGGCCAGAUGCACAGGGCCUCCAUUUGAAGGACACCUUUCGGUCUCCUACAAGCGACACGUCAGCGUCUUCCCGUCGGCGGAUUUGCCCACGUCUCGGUCCGACCUGUCUGCCAUAUUUAAUAUCGAAGCCCCAGUCAGCGCCGAGCUGA